UGCAAGUCGAGCGCACCCUUCGGGGCGAGCGGCGGACGGGUUAGUAACGCGUGGGAACGUGCCCUUUUCUAAGGAAUAGCCUCGGGAAACUGAGAGUAAUACCUUAUACGCCCUUCGGGGGAAAGAUUUAUCGGAGAAGGAUCGGCCCGCGUUAGAUUAGAUAGUUGGUGGGGUAACGGCCUACCAAGUCUACGAUCUAUAGCUGGUUUUAGAGGAUGAUCAGCAACACUGGGACUGAGACACGGCCCAGACUCCUACGGGAGGCAGCAGUGGGGAAUCUUGGACAAUGGGCGCAAGCCUGAUCCAGCCAUGCCGCGUGAGUGAUGAGGGCCUUAGGGUCGUAAAGCUCUUUCGCCAGGGAUGAUAAUGACAGUACCUGGUAAAGAAACCCCGGCUAACUCCGUGCCAGCAGCCGCGGUAAUACGGAGGGGGUUAGCGUUGUUCGGAAUUACUGGGCGUAAAGCGUACGUAGGCGGAUCAGAAAGUUGGGGGUGAAAUCCCGGGGCUCAACCCCGGAACUGCCUCCAAAACUCCUGGUCUUGAGUUCGAGAGAGGUGAGUGGAAUUCCGAGUGUAGAGGUGAAAUUCGUAGAUAUUCGGAGGAACACCAGUGGCGAAGGCGGCUCACUGGCUCGAUACUGACGCUGAGGUACGAAAGUGUGGGGAGCAAACAGGAUUAGAUACCCUGGUAGUCCACACCGUAAACGAUGAAUGCCAGACGUCGGGCAGUAUACUGUUCGGUGUCACACCUAACGGAUUAAGCAUUCCGCCUGGGGAGUACGGUCGCAAGAUUAAAACUCAAAGGAUUUGACGGGGGCCCGCACAAGCGGUGGAGCAUGUGGUUUAAUUUCGAGCAACGCGC
rnacentral:rRNA from 1 species